rnacentral:rRNA from 1 species
AUGAGGUUUCUGGAUAAUUUGCAGUUCGGUCGGUGCCGUGGCGGAGGGUUGUCUUGUGGUUUGACCGGAGAGGGAGCACACCAGAGGAGCGAUCUCGUCCCCAUUGGUCAGCACAUUUACCUGCGAAUCUCCAGGCUAUGGUACCAGCGGGGUGGCUUCGAUGAUGGCCCUGUCAAGAGUAUACAUAUGGUCAUGACCGACGAAAGAAAUCAUGCCAACGGGACGGUGCCUAAUGAGGUCAUAGACAUGUUUGUGGACACUUUGAAUGAGAGAAAUUUAUACAAGCGUGCCAGGAUCUAUGUGAGGCAGUGGAAGGCACGUAUACGUUAUGGUUCACUAGAUCAACAAUUGUCCAUCACCUUGAGGGUGUUCCAUUUGGUCAUGUCUAUUAACAUGCUUAGUUGCUUCUUCUUUAUUAUGUUUCUGCUCCAAUAA